GAUAUUUGUAAAUGGGGGGAACCCUGAACCAGCGACACCGCGUGAGGGAAGAAGGAUUUAGGAUUGUCAACCUCUGUCUUCGGAGAAGAUAAUGACGGUACCCGAGGAGGAAGACACGGCUAACUACGUGCCAGCAGCAGCGGUAAUACGUAGGUGGCAAGCGUUGUCCGGAAUUACUGGGUGUAAAGGGAGCGUAGGCGGGAAGGCAAGUUGAAUGUUAAAUCUAUCGGCUCAACCGAUAGCCGCGUUCAAAACUGUCUUUCUUGAGUGAAGUAGAGGCAAGCAGAAUUCCUAGUGUAGCGGUGAAAUGCGUAGAGAUUAGGAGGAAUACCAGUGGCGAAGGCGGCUUGCUGGACUUUUACUGACGCUGAGGCUCGAAAGUGUGGGGAGCAAACA
rnacentral:rRNA from 1 species